GUUGCACAAAAGUAGAAUUAAGACAUCCAGGAUAAAUGACUCAGCUGAGCUCAAUGAAGCCAAAACAUGUGCGUCCAGGCUUAAUUGGUUGCACAAAGACCAAGCCAGGAUGAGCAGACACGGAUUCAUUAAGCCAGGUGAAACCAAUCCUGGAUAGGUGCGCGCUCACGGCUCACUCAAAUAGACCCCGCCACAGAUCACAGAUUAACUGAUUUACCAUGGCAACUAGAGCCGCGUACUUUUCCCCGUCGGAAGCACAAAUCCUCAUGGAGGCAUACGAGGAGGUAAAAUAUAUAAUUAAGAAGAAAGGCAACACCGCCACAGUGAUAAAGCAAAGAGAAAAAGCGUGGCAAAGUAUUGCAGACCGCCUGAAUGCAUUAAACAUGAACGGGCCAAAACGGACAUGGCAGCAGGUGAAAAUCAAAUACAAGAACAUUCUGCAGAAUGCAGUGAAAAAGAAUACCCACAGACAAGGCAUGGGUGGUGGGUCACCAAAGGCUGACCUUACCCCAGCAGAGGACAUGGCCUUGGAGCUAAAUAAAGGCAGGCCCGUCUUAGAGGGGAUCCCUGGGGGGAAAGAGACGAGCAUAGGUUCCUCCCAAGAUGCCACCCGCUUCAUUCAAGUGUCUGGCAGCACUGUGUUCCUGUUAGAGCCACCAGCACAAGCACCAGACGAUGCUGAUCCAGGUGAAGGCCCCAGUGCAGCAGCAACAGCACAUGAUGGAGACGAUGAUGAGGAGGAGACCAUCUCUCUGGAUUCCAGAAGGCAUGAGGUAUCAUGUUAAGACUGUGAAAGUACUAUUUACUCUACAAUGGUGAGGAGUCCUCAUCAAAAUCAAAAAAUCUAAUUUCUUUUACAGGACCCAGAUGCUAUACAGUGGGAAAACCAGCCUGGCAACAUAGUGCGUAUUAAUAAAAGGACACCACAUCCUGCCAAAUUCCAGCUGCGCUAAUUGUAUUGUGUUCACAGAGCUCACAAGCUAUCAGAAAGUUGUAUGGCAACCACCUCCGGCGCCAAAUAGAACUGGCAGACAUAGACAUUCAGUACAAGAAGAAAAAGAUGGAAAAUCUUGCACUGGAGUCCGAAAUAAAAAAGAGGACAAUUAGGAAACUGGACCUUGAAAUAAAAAAACUUGAGAGGGAGCUCCAAGAAGAUGACACAGCUCAAAAUAAAAAUUAGGUAUAUUCUCGUAAAGUCAAGUGAGCCAUGACAUAUGAGCUCUUAUUGUGAGCACACAGGACGGUGGCAUCUUUC
rnacentral:lncRNA from 1 species